CUCUGCUCUUUGGAAAUGGAGAUCCAUGGAGCGGCAAAGUGAGAUGGAUGGAAAGAAGAGAGCAAGGAAAAGUCAAAAACUGGACGCAUAUUUUGUUCGUCGUCUUGGAGAUGAAGCGGAGUUUUUUGUUGGCAGCGAUUCAGACCCGCCAAAACUGCCAGCCCAGCCAGGGAGCUAGGUUAGUUAAAGGGGAGAGCCGUAUGG